CAUUCAGCCCCACCCACUGACCUUGGGGAAGAAGAGGGAGGGACUGGAAAUCGAGUUAUAAAAACUCUUGAACAAUGAGGUUGGGAGAGCCUCAGUGUUGGUAAAUACACUCAAAUGCUGAGAAAAUUGAGUGCCUGAAGAGGGCGUGGAAUCUGUGCCACACCCCCUCAAUACCUGCCCUGUAUCACUUCCAUUUUGCUGUUCCUUAGUUGUAGCCUUUAUAAUAAUAAACCAGUAAACCUAAGUAAAGUUUUCCUAAGUUCUGUGAGCCAUCCUUGCAAACUUCCAUACCUCAGGAGGGGGUCCUAAGAACCCCAGAUCUAUAGCUAGUUGAUCAGAAGUACAGGGGGCCUGGGACUUGCCACUGGCAUCUGAUGUGAGGCCAGUCCUUUAAGUUGGGGAAUAUGAUGCUAACUCCAGGUAGAUAAUGUCAUAAUUGAGUUGAACUGCUGGAUAUCCAGGUGGUGUGUCAGAGAACUGGUCGGUGUCAGAGAAAAUACCCCAGAGACAUCCAUGACUCUACCAUGAGAAAGACUUGAUCACUAGGGCCUUAAUAGACAUGGCCUAUAAGUGUUCCAGCAGAGGAAUGCCUUCUUUUCCAGCAUCAAGUUUAUUUUGCUCUUCCUUUGUCGAUGGAAAAAGUUAAAUGCAGCCUCACCCAGAAGCCACAGACCAAUAAAUCAUAAUCUAGCUCUUGAGGGGUAAGGAAAUAGUUUAGUCUGCUUGAGCCACCAUAAUAGAAUGCCAUAGGCUGGGAAGCUUACAACAGAAAAUUAUUUUCUCACAGUCCCAGAGACUGGAAGAUCAAGGGUCCUGCAGGGUUGGUAUCUGGGAAGAGCUAUCUUCUUGGGUUGCAGAUAGCCACCUUCUCACCAUGUCUUCACAUGGCCUUUCCUCUGGUGUCUUUCUCUUCUUAUAAGAACAGUAGUCCUAUUGGAUUAGGACCCAACACUUUUGACCUCAUUUAACCUUAAAUAACUCCCUAAAGGCUGUGUCUCCAAUAAAAUCACACUGUGGUUUAAUGCUUCAACAUAUGAAUUUUGGGAGGAUAGAGUCAGUGUGUUACAGGAAGGAUGCCUCUAUUUGUUUUCUAGAACCAAGCUGCAUCACUCCAUCCAGUUACUAGAACACAGAAUUACAGAAUGUUAGACAUGAAAGGAACAUUAGCUCCUUCACCAUAUGGUGAGGAAAUUGGGCUCCAGAAGGGUGAAGUGGCUUGCUCAUGAAGACAGCUCAUGGUGAGGCUGAGAGUGGAACCCAGACUCUCCUGACAGCAUGGGACAUGGGCACGAUGGCUAGAAUUCCAGCAGGCAUCUAGAAACUAUGAGAUAGAAGUCAGCACUGAAGAGGCAGAGAGGAAAGAAGUCUGACACAACACUGGCAUUGUAGAAUUGCCACUCCUUUUGUGGAAUGCUUAUCCCUGGAUUCUGUUAUCUGAGAGAAAAGAGGACUCGUCUUUGGUUUAAACCAGUGUUUAAACUACAAAUCCUAACUGAUUCAGCACAUUAA